rnacentral:rRNA from 1 species
AACGCUAGCUACAGGCUUAACACAUGCAAGUCGAGGGGCAGCAUAAAAGUAGCAAUACUUUGGUGGCGACCGGCGCACGGGUGAGUAACGCGUAUGCAACCUACCUAUCAGAGGGGGAUAACCCGGCGAAAGUCGGACUAAUACCGCAUAAAACAGGGGCACCGCAUGGUGAUAUUUGUUAAAAAUUUAUUGCUGAUAGAUGGGCAUGCGUUCCAUUAGGUAGUUGGAGAGGUAACGGCUCACCAAGCCAACGAUGGAUAGGGGAACUGAGAGGUUGGUCCCCCACACUGGUACUGAGACACGGACCAGACUCCUACGGGAGGCAGCAGUGAGGAAUAUUGGUCAAUGGGCGAGAGCCUGAACCAGCCAAGUCGCGUGAAGGAAGAAGGAUCUAUGGUUCGUAAACUUCUUUUGCAGGGGAAUAAAGUGCAGGACGUGUCCUGUUUUGUAUGUACCCUGAGAAUAAGGAUCGGCUAACUCCGUGCCAGCAGCCGCGGUAAUACGGAGGAUCCGAGCGUUAUCCGGAUUUAUUGGGUUUAAAGGGAGCGUAGACGGGAUGUUAAGUCAGCUGUGAAAGUUUGGGGCUCAACCUUAAAAUUGCAGUUGAUACUGGCGUCCUUGAGUGCGGUUGAGGUAUGUGGAAUUCGUGGUGUAGCGGUGAAAUGCUUAGAUAUCACGAAGAACUCCGAUUG